UGGGGAAUAUUGCACAAUGGGGGAAACCCUGAUGCAGCGACGCCGCGUGGAGGAAGAAGGUCUUCGGAUUGUAAACUCCUGUUGUUGAGGAAGAUAAUGACGGUACUCAACAAGGAAGUGACGGCUAACUACGUGCCAGCAGCCGCGGUAAAACGUAGGUCACAAGCGUUGUCCGGAAUUACUGGGUGUAAAGGGAGCGCAGGCGGGCAGACAAGUUGGAAGUGAAAUCCAUGGGCUCAACCCAUGAACUGCUUUCAAAACUGUAUGUCUUGAGUAGUGCAGAGGUAGGCGGAAUUCCCGGUGUAGCGGUGGAAUGCGUAGAUAUCGGGAGGAACACCAGUGGCGAAGGCGGCCUACUGGGCACCAACUGACGCUGAGGCUCGAAAGUGUGGGUAGCAAACA
rnacentral:rRNA from 1 species